GUGAACCAAAGGCUGGGCUUUAAAGGGAGGCAAGCAUGUCAGAGUAAGUAAUGCAAUCUGCUAAGCACAGUAACUAACUUGGAUCUGAGGGGUCAGGCAGGGCUAUAGGGAUGAAGACUGGCUUUGCAGGGUGAGUAAUCACAGGUGGACAAGACAGAAGAGGUGUUCUUAAGCAGAGGAAACAGUAAAUUGUAAAUGUCUUUCAUAGGAGAUGGUGCCUCAUGAGCUAAAUUCUGAAGGAUGAGUAAGACUAGGUGGACAAGAUAGGAAAGAACAAUUCUGGCAGAGGAAGAAAAGCAAAGCAAACUACUAAGCUUCAUUACAGAUUUCAUAAGCUCCAGAAGGUCAGGGGCCGUGAGCUGCUCAACUUGGUAAUCCUGACUCUAGCACAAAGCCUGGCCAAGGGUACGAUAUUGGAAUGAAUGAUGGUGGUCUUUCAAUAAACGUUGCUGAAUGAGGGACUGAAUAUCAAUCCACAGUCAACUUUCCAAUCUGUGUGGUUACGUGGGUUACAGCAAUAAAAGGCAUACAACCCUAAUUAAGGAUGUCACAGCUUAGUGAGAGAAAAAAAAAUUAUACUUUGCCAAACCCAGAGUGAGAAAGGCUUCCUGAAGAAGGUGGAAAGCAAGCUGACUACUGAAAGGAUUGACUUUAUGUGGCAUGUGCAAAUAUGUAAGAAGGUGACUUAAAAGGUGAAACUGGAACACAGAGACAAAGAAAAGUCAACAAAGGCUCUAACAUCAACAUGACCUUGGAUAAGGUGUACAUUUCAUCAGGACAGAUGACUCGAAUGGGUAAACUUAGUCACCUCAUCAGCAGCCAUCCUGGAGAACAGAGCACUGGGCUUAAAAAUCAUUUCUUCCAACGGUCUCCAUCCUUUGUCCCUGAAAGAAAAUUCAUGCUCCCAAUCUCCAAGCACUCUGGCUAUCUUUCUUGCUAAAAAGAAAUCUGUUUGGGAUGCCAGUCAUUAACCUAAGAGAGCUAUGAUGUGUUCCUUCCAUUCUGGGCUCCUUGUGGGCUAAGCUUGAGCCACAGUAUUUGGUUUAAGGCCCUUGUCCGGGUCUAAUGGGUCACUGUCUAAUAGAAUGUAAAUCUACACUUGUUGCUUCUAUAUUCUUUCUUUCUCUUUUUUUCUUUUUUACUUUUUUAGACGGGUGCUUGCUCUGUCGCCCAGGAUAGAGUGCAGUGACGCCAUCAUAGCUCACUACAGCUUCGACCACUGGGCUCAAACAUCCUCCCACCUCAGUCUCCCAAGUAACUGGGACCACACAGGCACACAUCACGCUGCCUAGCUUGUUCCACUAUUUUGAACAGGUCCUUUUUUUCUUUUCUUUUUUUCUCCUUUAGAGAUAUAAAAGUAUAAACCAGAUACUUAGCUUCACCUCAGGUAUAACGUGGUAGAAAGACCUAAACUAGGAAUUGAAUGCCCAGUUGUCAAAGUGGCCCCACUACUAAACAACCCUGGAACUUUACACAAAUCACAAAUUUUCUGGGACCCCAGUUUCUUGUCUCUACAAUAGUGGAACCAAACAAAUGGUGUUUCAACGUUGUUUCUAGUUCCAAAAAUGCUCAUAAUCCUAAUUCUUAGUAAAUCACUUCUAUUUUUAUUCAGAGGUAACAGGGUGUGAUAUAAAAAAACACAAGCUUGGACUCAGACAGACAUGGAUUGAACCAUGUUUGACACUGAGGUUAGAACAUCUCUGAUAUGCAAUUUCCUUCCUAUAAAAUAGAGAUAGUAUUACCUAACUCACCAGGUAGUUAUGAAUAUUAAUCAGACAAUAUAUAUCAACUAUUUACCGUGGUUUGUUUACAGUAGAGCCUUAAUUUUUUUUUAAAAAAGUGCCCUAAUCAUGUUUUCAAGUUGGCACUUACUUUAGAAAUCAGCAUGAAUUUGAGGCUUUCAAAGCACCACUUGUGGUAUGUAUUAUUUCCUCAAUUGUCACAUUAAAAUUUUUCUUCUUGAUAUUUAUUUUAAUUUUCAAAUAGAAAGUUUGCUUUUCUGUUUCCUUUCUAUAAAUAUUACCCCUUACCAGAGUAGCCUCC
rnacentral:lncRNA from 10 species